rnacentral:misc_RNA from 1 species
AAGUCGUAACAAGGUUUCCGUAGGUGAACCUGCGGAAGGAUCAUUAACAAAUUCUACGUUUGCCUUUGUGAAUCGGGCAGCGUGCUGCUCUCUAUACUUUUAGUCUGAGUCUAUACAAAAUUAUAACAAUUUUUAACAAUGGAUCUCUAGGCUCUU